rnacentral:rRNA from 1 species
CCUACGGGAGGCAGCAGUGGGGAAUAUUGCACAAUGGGGGAAACCCUGAUGCAGCGACGCCGCGUGAGUGAAGAAGUAUUUCGGUAUGUAAAGCUCUAUCAGCAGGGAAGAAAUAGCGACCUUUGGGUCGCCAGACGGUACCUGAUUAAGAAGCCCCGGCUAACUACGUGCCAGCAGCCGCGGUAAUACGUAGGGGGCAAGCGUUAUCCGGAUUUACUGGGUUUAAAGGGUGCGUAGGCGGUCCGUAAAGUCAGCGUUAAAAGUGCGGGGCUCAACCCCGUCGAGCCUUGGAAACUGGCAGACUUGAGUGGGGGAGAGGUAAGCGGAAGGCGUGGUGUAGCGGUGAAAUGCGUAGAUAUCGCGCGGAACACCGAUGGCGAAGGCAGCGUACCGGCGCCAGACUGACGCUGAGGCACGAAAGCGUGGGGAGCGAACAGGAUUAGAUACCCCUGUAGUC